GCGAGAGGUGACAUGAAUUUCCUCACGCGCGCGAGCAGAAAUAUGAAUAUUUAAAUUAUCUCCUCCCACUGGUUAGCAUAACAAAUGAGGCGGAAGUUUGUUUAGUCCAUAGUAGUCAAACACAGAGAUCUCAGAUCUCAAUUGCUGAUAGACUAUCGUUGCUACGGUGACUGCAAACGACCACCUUUGAAACACAACUGAAACGCAACUCACGGCUGCGCUGACAAGGGCAUUCACCUCUUUAUUAGUAAACCCAUUUUAUUUUUUGGUGGAUGAAAACAUUGUGUCAAUAUGCUAUGUCUAUGUUCGCCUUAUUCACCCGGAACGUUCUAAAGACGUUGAGGGGUACACUUCAGGGGUACAUUCGGCAACGCACCAGCUGUCAUGCCGCCUCACUUUUGUGUGCCCAAAUGUUCGUCCUCAAAGAGAAAAAAAUCCUACCGUGGACAGACUUUCCACCGUUUCCCCAAAGAGCAGGCACUUCGCCGUGAAUGUAUAAAUCACAUCAAGAGGGAUCCUGGUCCAUAUUUCAAGAUCAACGCUGAGACCAAGGUUUGCUCUGAGCACUUUGAGAAGCAGUGUUUUGUAAAGACCGCCCGUGGUAUCACAAAGCUUAUAAGGAUGCCGUGCCACUUUGUUCGCCUGGACUUCAGAGAGGCCAAAGAGGAGAAUCAUCAUUCGCAGACCGAGAGAUGAUGACCCAUUCCUGAAGUUGGACGCCAGAAUGCAGGAAGGUGCUGUUUAAGAGCCUAGGCGGUGGAAGAAGCACUUGCAGGUAUGCUACCGACCAGGCUCCUCAACAUCAAUCCGAGACGGAAGAUGAACCGGGAUGAAGCAGUUAGAUUGAGGUAAACAUCUACACACCCCUGUUCAAAUUCCAGGUUUUUGUUACGUAAAAAAAUGACAGAAAACAAACUUAAAGCUUUAAAAGGAAAG